rnacentral:rRNA from 1 species
UACGUAGGGGGCAAGCGUCGUCCGGAUUUAUUGGGCGUAAAGGGUUCGCAGGUGGCCUUUUAAGUCAGAUGUGAAAGAUCAUGGCUUAACCAUGGUAAGCAUUUGAAACUGAAAGGCUUGAGUUAAGGAGAGGAAAGUGGAAUUCCUAGUGUAGCGGUGAAAUGCGUAGAUAUUAGGAGGAAUACCAGUGGCGAAGGCGACUUUCUGGACUUAUACUGACACUGAGGAACGAAAGCAUGGGGAGCAAACAGG